rnacentral:rRNA from 1 species
AUUGAACGCUGGCGGCAGGCUUAACACAUGCAAGUCGAGCGGGGGAGGUUGCUUCGGUAACUGACCUAGCGGCGGACGGGUGAGUAAUGCUUAGGAAUCUGCCUAUUAGUGGGGGACAACAUUCCGAAAGGAAUGCUAAUACCGCAUACGCCCUACGAGGGAAAGCAGGGGAUCUUCGGACCUUGCGCUAAUAGAUGAGCCUAAGUCGGAUUAGCUAGUUGGUGGGGUAAAGGCCUACCAAGGCGACGAUCUGUAGCGGGUCUGAGAGGAUGAUCCGCCACACUGGGACUGAGACACGGCCCAGACUCCUACGGGAGGCAGCAGUGGGGAAUAUUGGACAAUGGGCGGAAGCCUGAUCCAGCCAUGCCGCGUGUGUGAAGAAGGCCUUUUGGUUGUAAAGCACUUUAAGCGAGGAGGAGGCUCUUAAGGUUAAUACCCUUGAUGAGUGGACGUUACUCGCAGAAUAAGCACCGGCCAACUCUGUGCCAGCCGCCGCAGUAAAAC